GAUGAACGCUGACAGAAUGCUUAACACAUGCAAGUCAACUUGAACUUCGGUUUGGGUGGCGGACGGGUGAGUAACGCGUAAAGAACUUGCCUCACAGAUAGGGACAGCAUUUGGAAACGAAUGCUAAUACCUGAUAUUAUGAUUAUAUGGCAUCGUAUAAUUAUGAAAGCUAUAUGCGCUGUGAGAGAGCUUUGCGUCCCAUUAGCUAGUUGGAGAGGUAACGGCUCACCAAGGCGAUGAUGGGUAGCCGGCCUGAGAGGGUGAUCGGCCACAAGGGGACUGAGACACGGCCCUUACUUCUACGGGAGGCAGCAGUGGGGAAUAUUGGACAAUGGACCAAGAGUCUGAUCCAGCAAUUCUGUGUGCACGAUGAAGUUUUUCGGAAUGUAAAGUGCUUUCAGUUGGGAAGAAAAAAAUGACGGUACCAACAGAAGAAGUGACGGCUAAAUACGUG
rnacentral:rRNA from 1 species